rnacentral:rRNA from 1 species
UACGAAGGGGGCUAGCGUUGUUCGGAAUUACUGGGCGUAAAGGGCGCGUAGGCGGUGUGUCAAGUCAGGCGUGAAAGCCCCCGGGCUCAACCUGGGAACAGCGCUUGAGACUGGCACGCUCGAGUUCGGGAGAGGAUGGUGGAAUUCCCAGUGUAGAGGUGAAAUUCGUAGAUAUUGGGAAGAACACCGAUGGCGAAGGCAGCCAUCUGGACCGACACUGACGCUGAGGCGCGAAAGCGUGGGGAGCGAACAGG